rnacentral:rRNA from 1 species
GACGAACGCUGGCGGCGUGCUUAACACAUGCAAGUCGAGCGGUAAGGCCCUUUCGGGGGUACACGAGCGGCGAACGGGUGAGUAACACGUGGGUGACCUGCCUUUAGCUCUGGGAUAAGCCCGGGAAACUGGGUCUAAUACCGGAUAUGACCCUAUGGCGCAUGUUGUGGGGUGGAAAGCCUUGUGCGGCUAGGGAUGGGCCCGCGGCCUAUCAGCUUGUUGGUGGGGUGAUGGCCUACCAAGGCGACGACGGGUAGCCGGCCUGAGAGGGCGACCGGCCACACUGGGACUGAGACGCGGCCCAGACUCCUACGGGAGGCAGCAGUGGGGAAUCUUGCGCAAUGGGCGAAAGCCUGACGCAGCGACGCCGCGUGA